GGAGCCCACAGGCCAGCUGUGUCUUUUCAGCUUCCACCAACCUGACAAGCCAAAUAGACAGUGUUGGGUGCAAAUAUUCUCUCACAGACCGUGCCUGGAAGACUGUGAGGCCAGGUGACCUUGGAAGGCCACAAAGCAGUAGCAGUUCCUAUCCAACAGCGGUGGCCAUGGAGCCAAGGCCCCUCAACCUCUUUGCUGAUGCUUCCUGGAACCUCAGAGGAUCCUGGUCAGCAGAACACAGGCAUCGCAGUCUUAACCCGCGGACAUGGUGCACGGCUGCCACCUGGCGGCCGCCUGGCCAGAAACACACAGAUCCAACAGGCCUCCCUUCGGAAUCCUUGCUGACUGUCCCAGCUGGGCCAGCAAUCUUCUCCACGGAGUGCUGUCCUCAACCUUGUCCAGAGAAGCUUCUCUGCAGUGAGCAGCAGUAAUGCAGAGCAAUGCAGCAGUAAUGCAGAGACUCCUAACUGGUCAGAGUGCUGACAGCAAGUGACUGUGGAGUGAUCAGCCCCAACUGGAGCAUCUGUAUCAAGCCCAUCCGGUGGCCCAGGGAACAUCAAGGCAGAACAAGUGCAGGAGUUGGGGAUGGGGAGGUGUGUUAUGGAGCGCUGCGUUCUUGACCAGACACAGCCACUGUGCUCAGGGAGUCACGGCAGCCCAUAACCAAGCCAGUAAGAUCAGUCUUCAUUCCGAAAGGCAGCACUGACUGGACUCAGUUACAAAAAUGAAAGGAA
rnacentral:lncRNA from 1 species